rnacentral:rRNA from 1 species
GUCCACGCCGUAAACGAUGGAUACUUGCUGUUUGAUCGUAAGAUUGAGUGGCUAAGCGAAAGUUAUAAGUAUCCCACCUGGGGGAGUACGAUCGCAAGAUUGAAACUCAAAGGAAUUGACGGGGGGCCCGCACAAGCGGUGGAGCAUGUGGUUUAAUUCGAUGAUACGCGAGGAACCUUACCAAGGCUUAAAUGCAUAAUGACGUAUUUGGAAACAGAUAUUUCUUCGGACAGAAUGCAAGGUGCUGCAUGGCUGUCGU